rnacentral:lncRNA from 1 species
CACUGCUGGACAGCAGAGCUGGGUCUGGCGCACAUGCUUUCUCAGGAGAGACACCGGGAGGCUCGGCCAGCUCCCGCACAUUCCUGUGGCUACAGCUCGGACACAGACUCCAGGGAAAGAUGGGUAGAUUUUCCUGAAAGUGUAAUGAGUCAGCAAAGUGUUCUCACUCUGCUUCAGAGAAUAGCGCCAUAUGUCAAUAUUAAUGUUCUUUUAGUGCUGUCUUAUGUAAGGUGUUUUCCUAGAGCUGUCACUCGAACGUUUGUGUGGCAGGCACAAUUCAAAAUCCAGGGUCACCUAACACGAAAGCAGUCACUCCUUACCGGGGAGUAUCCAGAUGGUAACUUUUCAAUGAAUGUAUAUUACAGACAGACGCCGCACCUCAUAAAGAUCUCUUCUCCUGUAGGAUUAGCCAUUCAACAGAAGCUUGAUACAGCAGUUACUUUGCGCCCAGCACAGAGGGUCAGAGUCAACCAAACUGCAGCAAGGUCACAGGAAGGAGAUACAGAAGUGAAUGUUUUUGUUUUCAUUGACAAGAUCUGGAAAAUCCUGAUCAUAAGAGGUGUGUUAUUGGACUGACAUUCCUGAGAAGUCACCCAGUCCUCUACGAAUAGCUGCCCCUGCUCAGAUACAAGGAAAAGAUGUGUUGGCAGGAGGACAGAUCCAGCUGGCUCUCAGAACUCAGUGCCGCAUCAGAACUGUCAGAGUCCCUUCACCAAUCCCAGUACUGCUGGUGCCGCUCAUUUCUGGACACUGUGGGUGCCACGGGAUCUGUAGUAACCAGUCAGCAGCAAUCAUCCUUCUAGAAGCUUCCAGUGUUUUCUGUCUAGACUAGAAUUAAGAUCUCAGAACACAGCCCUGGGGCCUCAGUGUGGGGCUUGGCUCCAGACCCGCUUGAUUCUGCCCAGCUGUGGGAUCCAUUGCCCUCAUUUCCGAGCAUGUGCUCCCUCCCACCAAGAGACUGGAAUUCUGGAAAGUGAGCCAAACAUGCACAUGUUUUUCCACUUCCACGGUGAAAGUUCGGGACUCACUGUCCGAUGGUCCUCCUGGGUGUCCAGGACUCCUCAACCCUGCCCAGUCACGGGCACAUCUCCAUCUUCAUGUCCUUGCCUCCCCUUCCACUUCUCUUGCAUCCACUGAAAUCCUAGGCAGCUCUUAAAAUGCAGGCUCUGAAAUUAGAAAACCCCAGAAGUUCUGAAAAAUUGCUGUUUCUGACAUUCCCUGUCUCAGAGCUUCUCACUGUGGGGCAGAGAUGGUGCCAGGGACCGCCGAUGUUUGUGAAGCUCCCCGGCCCACCUGAGGCCAGUGGUGCGUCCACUGCCUGCACUUUCUGCUGUCAGCCUUUCAGUUUCCGACAGGCAGAAUGNNNNNNNNNNNNNNNNNNNNNNNNNNNNNNNNNNNNNNNNNNNNUCCAUCCUUCCUGCAUGGUCUGAAGGGCUGUUCUUCAGGCUCUGUCCCUCCAUGUCCAUUGCGUGAGGACAGGGACUAUGCCAUCAUCCGUUUGGUGACUCUGCCCUUGAUUCAGUGCCUAGCACAAUGCAGAAAAUGUGUGCUGCAUACAGAGUAUGCUUGGUGACAUAACCUGUAUUUGUAAUUCGAAAUUACAGUGUAAAACCUAGAAAUAGCAAAUAAAAUUCCACAGCUGCUCCUCUGUGCCACCCAAGAGUGGACAGUCUCUGCCUCUCCGGGCUUCAAGGAGCCUCAUCUCAUGCUGCUUCUCUUGGGAAGUGUGCAGUUCACAAGCGGUG